rnacentral:rRNA from 1 species
CCUACGGGUGGCAGCAGUGAGGAAUAUUGGUCAAUGGGAGCUAUCCUGAACCAGCCAAGUAGCGUGCAGGACGACUGCUCUAUGAGUUGUAAACUGCUUUUGUAUGGGGAUAAAGUGCAGUAUGUAUACUGCUUUGAAAGUACCUUAUGAAUAAGGAUCGGCUAACUCCGUGCCAGCAGCCGCGGUAAUACGGAGGAUCCGAGCGUUAUCCGGAUUUAUUGGGUUUAAAGGGAGCGUAGGUGGGUUGUUAAGUCAGUGGUGAAAGUUUGAUGCUCAACAGUGAAAUUGCGGUUGAUACUGUCGUCCUAGAGAACAGUAGCGGCAGGCGGAAUGUGUGGUGUAGCGGUGAAAUGCUUAGAUAUCACAAAGAACACCGAUUGCGAAGGCAGCCUGCUAGGCUGGAUCUGACGCUGAUGCUCGAAAGUGUGGGUAUCAAACAGGAUUAGAUACCCUUGUAGUC